CCUACGGGGGGCAGCAGUGGGGGAUAUUGCACAAUGGGGGACACCCUGAUGCAGCGACGCCGCGUGUGGGAAGACGGUCCUCUGGAUUGUAAACCACUGUCCCCAGGGACGAAGAUGACGGUACCUGGGGAGGAAGCUCCGGCUAACUACGUGCCAGCAGCCGCGGUAAUACGUAGGGAGCAAGCGUUGUCCGGAAUUACUGGGUUUAAAGGGUGCGUAGGCGGAAUGCCAAGUCAGCGGUAAAAUCGCGGGGCUCAACCUCGCUCCGCCGUUGAAACUGGCGUUCUUGAGUGGGCGAGAAGUAUGCGGAAUGCGUGGUGUAGCGGUGAAAUGCAUAGAUAUCACGCAGAACUCCGAUUGCGAAGGCAGCAUACCGGCGCCCAACUGACGCUGAAGCACGAAAGCGUGGGUAUCGAACAGGAUUAGAUACCCGUGUAGUC
rnacentral:rRNA from 1 species